AUUGAAUCUUCUAAACAGAUUGUAUUUGAGAGCAAAGUAAUUCAUGUUGACCCAUAUCACAAAAGGCAUAAGCAGUAACAACAACAACAAUAUAGAUAUCUCAAAUACAAUCUGUUUAGAAGAUUAAAUGCAAGAAAUGCAUGAAGACUGUGUUAAACUGACUUGAUCCACAGGUUUGCUUUAACAUGUUACAUGGUAUUUGUGUUGUUGUGCUAUCUUGUACUAAGCUAUGUAUUGCUACGCUAAUUUGACAGGUAUACUGAUCACCUGGCAUACAGAAAAUGAAACCCCUGAUCUCAUUGGUAUGCCAGGUACAAGGGGGUGCCAUUGUUGCCUGUAUUCAGAUUUUUUUCAAUGACAUGGAUGCCAGCCUUUUCA
ensembl:lncRNA